rnacentral:rRNA from 1 species
UACAGAGGUCCCAAGCGUUGUUCGGAUUCACUGGGCGUAAAGGGUGCGCAGGUGGGUUGGCAAGUUCGAUGUGAAAGCCCCGGGCUUAACCCGGGAAUUGCCUUCGAUACUGUUUGGCUAGAGACCGGAAGAGGUAAGUGGAACUGCGAGUGUAGAGGUGAAAUUCGUAGAUAUUCGCAAGAACACCAGUGGCGAAGGCGGCUUACUGGUCCGGUUCUGACGCUGAGGCGCGAAAGCGUGGGGAGCAAACAGG